rnacentral:rRNA from 1 species
UUGAUCCUGGCUCAGGAUGAACGCUGGCGGUAUGCUUAACACAUGCAAGUCGAACGGUCUUUUAGGAGACAGUGGCGGACGGGUGAGUAACGCGUAAGAAUCUACCUUCAGGUUGGGGACAACCACUGGAAACGGUGGCUAAUACCGAAUGUGCCGAGAGGUGAAAGGCUUGCUGCCUGAAGAAGAGCUUGCGUCUGAUUAGCUAGUUGGUAGUGUAAGAGACUACCAAGGCGACGAUCAGUAGCUGGUCUGAGAGGAUGAUCAGCCACACUGGGACUGAGACACGGCCCAGACUCCUACGGGAGGCAGCAGUGGGGAAUUUUCCGCAAUGGGCGAAAGCCUGACGGAGCAAUACCGCGUGAGGGAGGAAGGCUCUUGGGUUGUAAACCUCUUUUCUCAGGGAAGAACAGAAUGACGGUACCUGAGGAAUAAGCAUCGGCUAACUCCGUGCCAGCAGCCGCGGUAAUACGGAGGAUGCAAGCGUUAUCCGGAAUGAUUGGGCGUAAAGGGUCCGCAGGUGGCAUUGUAAGUCUGCUGUUAAAGAGUUUGGCUCAACCAAAUAAGAGCAGUGGAAACUACAAAGCUAGAGUGUGGUCGGGGCAGAGGGAAUUCCUGGUGUAGCGGUGAAAUGCGUAGAUAUCAGGAAGAACACCAGUGGCGAAGGCGCUCUGCUAGGCCGAGACUGACACUGAGGGACGAAAGCUAGGGGAGCGAAUGGGAUUAGAUACCCCAGUAGUCCUAGCCGUAAACGAUGGAUACUAGGCGUAGCUCGUAUCGACCCGAGCUGUGCCGGAGCUAACGCGUUAAGUAUCCCGCCUGGGGAGUACGCAGGCAACUGUGAAACUCAAAGGAAUUGACGGGGGCCCGCACAAGCGGUGGAGUAUGUGGUUUAAUUCGAUGCAACGCGAAGAACCUUACCAAGGCUUGACAUGUCACGAAUCCUAUUGAAAGAUGGGAGUGCCUUCGGGAGCGUGAACACAGGUGGUGCAUGGCUGUCGUCAGCUCGUGUCGUGAGAUGUUGGGUUAAGUCCCGCAACGAGCGCAACCCCCGUUUUUAGUUGCCAGCAUUAGGUUGGGCACUCUAGAGAGACUGCCGGUGACAAACCGGAGGAAGGUGGGGAUGACGUCAAGUCAGCAUGCCCCUUACGUCUUGGGCUACACACGUACUACAAUGCUACGGACAAAGGGCAGCUACACAGCGAUGUGAUGCGAAUCUCGUAAACCGUAGCUCAGUUCAGAUCGAAGGCUGCAACUCGCCUUCGUGAAGGAGGAAUCGCUAGUAAUUGCAGGUCAGCAUACUGCAGUGAAUUCGUUCCCGGGCCUUGUACACACCGCCCGUCACACCAUGGAAGUUGGUCACGCCCGAAGUCGUUACCCCAACCUAUUGGAGGGGGAUGCCUAAGGUAGGACU